UUGUGAGUGAUGAACAAUGGUGUACCCCAGAGGUGUGAGCCUGGGAACACAGGUGCAUUUUGGUCUUUUUGUUUGUAAUUACUGGACCUAAAUAUACUUGUGUUCUCAGGUCACCCCUUUGGGGUCACCUUGCUUUUUUUUAUUUUCUUCCCUCAAUUCUUGUUUUUUUCUUCUUUUCAAUUUGAAUUCCUCAUUUUUCUUUCUUUAUUUAUAGCUUGUGAGAGUUUCACUCUUUUUUACAGCAACGUCUACGAAUGCUACUCGAUUAAGGUACUUUGAAAAAAUUGUCAGGACGUAUUGACAAAUUCUUUUUUCAUCGAAGAAUCAUUCGAAGAGCUGGAUUUCGUCAACGCCAGUCUCAAGCACUGUGAAGAAGCCUUUGAUAAUUUUUUAUUUCUGAAGGCCGUUCAAUGGAUAUUUUCAUCGAAAUUUUAAGAAAUUCCAGCCGUGGAUCUUUCAUUAAAUACAUUUAGUUGUGUUCACCUUUUUUGGUUCAUUUGAAAUGGUAUAUUAGAAUAUCUUUUUAUU